rnacentral:rRNA from 1 species
GACCGGCGCACGGGUGAGUAACGCGUAUCCAACCUGCCCUUUACUAUGGGACAGCCCGUCGAAAGGCGGAUUAAUACCGUAUGUUGUCAUGUUGAUGCAUAUUUUCAUGACCAAAGGCUUCGGCCGGUAAAGGAUGGGGAUGCGUCUGAUUAGCUUGCCGGCGGGGUAACGGCCCACCGGGGCGACGAUCAGUAGGGGUUCUGAGAGGAAGGUCCCCCACAUUGGAACUGAGACACGGUCCAAACUCCUACGGAAGGCAGCAG